rnacentral:rRNA from 1 species
GACGAACGCUGGCGGCGUGCCUAAUACAUGCAAGUCGAACGCAGUGGGGACGGGGUAGUAACACGUGGGUAACCUCCCAUCAAAGGGGAUAACACUUGCAAACACGGGCUAAACUGAUACUUAUUGAUGUACCCGCGGUGCAUUAGCUAGUGGGUGAGGGAACGGCCCACAAAGGCCCCGAGGCAUAGCCGACGUGAGGGGGUGAUCGGCCAAACUGGGACGGAGAAAAGGCCAAGACUCCUACGGGAGGCAGCAGUAGGGAAUCUUCGGAAAUGGACGAAAGUCUGACCGAGCAACGCGGCGUGGGUGAAGAAGGUUUUCGGAUCGUAAACCUCUGUUGUUAGAGAAGCGGUAUCUAACCAGAAAGCCACGGCUAACUACGUGCCAGCAGCCGCGGUAAUUC